rfam:Ixodes scapularis strain Wikel colony gcontig_1107729115888, whole genome shotgun sequence.
GAGCGCUCCACUGGAAAUGGAGAGGUUCCUGGUUCGAUACCAGGACCAGAUG